rnacentral:rRNA from 1 species
UACGUAGGGUGCAAGCGUUAAUCGGAAUUACUGGGCGUAAAGCGUGCGCAGGCGGUUUUGUAAGUCUGAUGUGAAAUCCCCGGGCUCAACCUGGGAAUUGCAUUGGAGACUGCAAGGCUAGAAUCUGGCAGAGGGGGGUAGAAUUCCACGUGUAGCAGUGAAAUGCGUAGAGAUGUGGAGGAACACCGAUGGCGAAGGCAGCCCCUGGGUCAAGAUUGACGCUCCAUGCACGAAAGCGUGGGAGCAACAGGAUUAGAGUACCUGGAUAG